GGGCGCUUAGCUCAGUUGGUUAGAGCGCUUCGUUUACACCGAAGAGGUCAGGAGUUCGAGUCUCUUAGCGCCCA
rnacentral:tRNA from 1 species